CGAUAAUGGUUUCAGAAAUGGAAAUCCUAAGAACGGAAGGUACGCAGUCUAACAGGAGUGAAUGUUUAUCAUCUGCAAAGCAAACACACUCUUCUGUGAAGCAGCUUAAAAUCUCCACGAUAAGGUUAUAGAGUAUGUUUGAGUGGCAGCUGGUAAUUAAAUUAGAUCUAUACAGAGAACUAGACAGUUUUUCAACCAUCUGUGUUCGAGAAACAGGUAUUAGAGAAACCACAGAUGUCACAAAGAGUCAAGUCACACACUUUCCCUUCGAACAUUUGUGGUAAGGUGUUAGUAAUGAAUUCGUUGCUUCAGCUCUGGGGGACAGGCCCAGGAACAGAGCUUGACCUAGCCAGAGGUCAUACAGAGGAAAGAUAAACCUUGCAUUCCAAUAUUGUCUUUAAAAUGCCCUUAUUAACGUCCCCAUAUUAAAUGUGCGUCGCACCAGUCGCCAUCUUCAGCACACAGGGAGCAGAGUUUUACAUCUGAACAUACUUGAACUGGGGAGAAAGCACGAUGCUGCUAAAGUUAUCCAUUUGGAAAAUGAUGCAAACAAACUCUUUUGGACUAUGAGUAAAACAAGCGUGUUUAAAAGCUCGCAUGGAAACUAGCUAAUCUCCUAGCAAGGUUCGCAUCAGUUUGAAAUGACUUGGGGUAAGUCUAUAGUAAUUUUGCCUCCAAAUGGGUCAUGCAGUGAACUUUACUAGAGCGGAUACGCCCUUACGAUGGCGACAUUCAGUACGUUUACAUGGACGACAAUAAUCCGAUAUGAACCCGAUUAAGACGAUACUCUGAUUAAGAAACUAGCAUGUAAACAGCGAUUAUUGAUGACCUUAAUCCGAUUAAAGUCAUACUCGAAGUAAACACAAAUGGAAUUAAGACGUGUGGAGUAUUCCUGUUUUAGUCGCAUUAUGGACGUGUAUUAUAGACACGUACACACCUUAAUCACACUAUUAACGUCGUGUGGGAGUUUUCACUGCAUUUUGACACGACAGGACACGAUCGCACACGGCAGCGCUCGACCGUUUAACGGCAAACAAGAGAGCACGGCCGCGUCCCAAACCGCGUACUUACCUGCUAUAUAGUAGGAGAAAUACAUGUAUAUCAGCUACUAUACAGUAGGUAAGUAUGCGGUUUUGGACGCAGCCCACGGCUUCAAGCAGUCGUCUAUUAGCACGUACAGCACGACAAAUAAUUAACCGCACUUGAAGCUUUCGUAAAAAACUUAAAUAAAAACACCCAAAACUGUAUACGCUCCCAUAACGAAGACCAACUGUAUGUCGAUACGUGAAAUUCUGGAGGGACGUCGGACGGCGUGGCGCGGUGACGUAAUGACGUGUGCCGUUAAUCGAUCUACGUUCUAUAUCAUGUAAAACCCGAACAUGAAAGAAAUAUUCUAAACGCGACUCAUGUAAACAUCUUAAUCACAAUAUUGUCUUAUUCAGAAUAAGGUCAAUAAUUAGAUUACCGCUGUCCAUGUAAACGUAGUCAGUGUUUGAGGGGAAGUCAAACAGGGUGUGUUAAAGCAGUAUUGGAACAAACUGUAGGCUCUGAAAUAGCAUUGUUUGGUGUCUAUUUCUCUUUAGAAAAAUGGAACAAGUCAGACAGACAGACAGAGAGACAGAGUACAUUCACCAUUCUUCAUUUCAUUUCAGUUCCACAGGCAAAACUAAUCCAAACCCAUGCCAACACACACACACACACACACACACACAUCCAGAACUGUUCAAAAUACUACACUAUGUCUAUCUAAAUCUAUAUGCACCCACCCAUUCCCACAAACUCAUUCUUGUGUUUGUGUCCCAGUUAGCAAGCAAAGAUGCUAGAAUAUUUUUUACAUACCCACACUGACCGGAGAACAGUGCGAGAGUUUUGUACAGGUAUGUAAAGAACAGCCUGUUUACCACUAACAUUUUAGAAGGAUGCAUCAAGUCAAGCAUUGUAUAAUAAUAUACCAAACACACCAACCUUAACAUGGGGAAAGGGACUUUCUGCAGGGCUUUUGUGAUUCUGUAACAUGAAGAUCUUUCUCUCUUCUGAACAGAACGCUAAAGUACAUCCCGGUUCAGUCCAGCGGUGUUAAUUCAUCUUAUCGCUUUCUGCGUAUGCUUUGCAAUGUUGAUCGAACAGACGUCUACCCGGUGCUUUAACAUGCUCGGUCGCUGGUUGUGUUACAAGCUAAGAAGUCGUAACUUUAUUCCUGUCUCAAGGCUUCCAGCUUUAAGUACACAGACGAACACAGCUUUGAGAGUUUCCUAAAAUCUGAGUCUAAAUCAGAGAGAAGCCGCAUUUGGACAUCAUGGUGGAAAUCCUUGCUACGAUUCUUGUUCCAGUGAUCGUACCCGAUGACAGAUGUGACUGUCAGCUCCAAAAUGCUUCGGUCAAUUCAAAAGCAGCAUUAAUUAUUUUUCCGUUUGUAACCAACCACACAUGAAUGUCAAGCCAAUUUUGUUAUAGGCUACCAUCAAUCCGGUAUUAAUCACGGCAGUUCAAGUCCAAAUGCCAGGGCUUCAAAGUCCCAGUGGGGAA
ensembl:lncRNA